rnacentral:rRNA from 1 species
GACGAACGCUGGCGGCGUGCUUAACACAUGCGAGUCGAACGGAAAGGCCCUGCUUUUGUGGGGUGCUCGAGUGGCGAACGGGUGAGUAACACGUGAGUAACCUGCCCUUGACUUUGGGAUAACUUCAGGAAACUGGGGCUAAUACCGGAUAGGAGCUCCUGCUGCAUGGUGGGGGUUGGAAAGUUUCGGCGGUUGGGGAUGGACUCGCGGCUUAUCAGCUUGUUGGUGGGGUAGUGGCUUACCAAGGCUUUGACGGGUAGCCGGCCUGAGAGGGUGACCGGCCACAUUGGGACUGAGAUACGGCCCAGACUCCUACGGGAGGCAGCAGUGGGGAAUAUUGCACAAUGGGCGGAAGCCUGAUGCAGCAACGCCGCGUGCGGGAUGACGGCCUUCGGGUUGUAAACCGCUUUCGCCUGUGACGAAGCGUGAGUGACGGUAAUGGGGAAAGAAGCACCGGCGAACUACGU